rnacentral:rRNA from 1 species
GGAGUUAGCCGGUGCUUCUUCUGUGAGUGAUGUCCUUCCUGCCGGCUAUUAACCCGCAGGCCUUCUUCCUCACUGAAAGUGCUUUACAACCCGAAGGCCUUCUUCACACACGCGGCAUGGCUGGAUCAGGGUUGCCCCCAUUGUCCAAUAUUCCCCACUGCUGCCUCCCGUAGGAGUCUGGGCCGUGUCUCAGUCCCAGUGUGGCUGAUCAUCCUCUCAGACCAGCUACGGAUCGUCGCCUUGGUGAGCCGUUACCUCACCAACCAGCUAAUCCGACAUAGGCUCAUCCGAUAGCGCGAGGCCCGAAAGUCCCCCGCUUUCCCCCGUAGGGCGUAUGCGGUAUUAGCCUGGGUUUCCCCAGGUUAUCCCCCACUACCGGGCAGAUUCCUAUGCAUUACUCACCCGUCCGCCGCUCGCCACCAGGGAGCAAGCUCCCCGUGCUGCCGCUCGACUUGCAUGUGUUAGGCCUGCCGCCAGCGUUCAAUCUGAGCCAGGAUCAAACUCUGA